UGGGCGUAAAGAGUGCGCAGGCGGUUUUGCAAGACCGAUGUGAAAUCCCCGGGCUUAACCUGGGAACUGCAUUGGUGACUGCAAGGCUAGAGUGUGUCAGAGGGAGGUGGAAUUCCGCAUGUAGCAGUGAAAUGCGUAGAUAUGCGGAGGAACACCGAUGGCGAAGGCAGCCUCCUGGGAUAACACUGACGCUCAUGCACGAAAGCGUGGGGAGCAAACAGGAUUAGAUACCCUGGUAGUCCACGCCCUAAACGAUGUCUACUAGUUGUCGGGGAUUAAUUUCCUUGGUAACGCAGCUAACGCGUGAAGUAGACCGCCUGGGGAGUACGGUCGCAAGAUUAAAACUCAAAGGAAUUGACGGGGACCCGCACAAGCGGUGGAUGAUGUGGAUUAAUUCGAUGCAACGCGAAAAACCUUACCUACGCUUGACAUGUCCGGAACCCUGAAGAGAUUUGGGGGUGCUCGAAAGAGAGCCGGAACACAGGUGCUGCAUGGCUGUCGUCAGCUCGUGUCGUGAGAAG
rnacentral:rRNA from 1 species